GAUGAAGAACGCAGCGAAAUGCGAUAAGUAAUGUGAAUUGCAGAAUUUAGUGAAUCAUCGAAUCUUUGAACGCAUAUUGCGCCCGCCAGCACUCUGGCGGGCAUGCCUGUUCGAGCGUCAUUUCAACCCUCAGGCCUCGCGUCUGGCGUUGGGGCGCUGCGGCCCUCCCGCAGGCCCCCAAAUUUAGCGGCGGAUUCCCCGCGGCCCUGAGCGCAGUAGAGAGUAAAAACUUUACCGCUCCGGCGGCCGUGGCGCGGUUCUGCCUCUUUCCCAAUAGCGCCAAUAGCGCCACCCCCAAAAAAGUUGACCUCGGAUCAGGUAGGACUACCCGCUGAACUUAAGCAUAUCAAUAAGCGGAGGA
rnacentral:misc_RNA from 1 species